rnacentral:lncRNA from 1 species
UCUUUAAUUGUGGAUUUUGAGAUAACUAAUCAUCUAUUAAAAAAGAAAGAAAGAGAGUUAAAAAAAAAAAAAAGAAACUUGCUCCACGAAACUACUUCUUUUAUGUGGUAAAUCACUGAAAUGUCAGGCACGAUCUUGCAUGCAGCUUUCAGCAUCAACUUGUUUUCCACCGGCAAUCUCUUGCUCCUGCUCCUUCUCCUUCUCUGCGUUUGUGAUCGUGCGGCCGUGCCUGACAUUCUCGCUCUCUAUACAGGUAACAACUACUUGAUAUAGAAGAUCAAAAUCUUCAUAUUAAUUUGUUUUGAAUUUGAAAGCAUUUUUUUAAAGUUAAAAUAACUUUAGCUUUUAACUUUAGCAACACAAUCAUGCAUUACAAACAAACAUGAAAUAUCAAAUUCAAAUGUUUAAUUACAAAUACUUCCAAGCAAUUAAGAAAGGUAAUAUAAACAAUAACAUGAUGCUGUUAGAUUUUUAAAAUUUUCAGUAAUCAUAUUUAUUUAUAUAUGGUCAUUUUGCAUUAAAAGUCAGGACUAGAGUAGUACGCCAUACCUGAUCGAAACAAGACGGUAUCCUAAAUGGCAAGCACUUUACUCCAAUGCAUGACAAUGCAUUGUAAUUGAUGAUGACACCUGGCAAACACUCGGGCACCAUACAUGUAAUUCUAAGGCCAAAAUUCUAAUUUGGUUUACUGAAGAAGAUGUUGAGCACAAGCUUCUGAAUCUUAAUUUCCCUCAUGGGGUCUCAAGGUUUUUUCUCAGAAGCUUGUUGAUGAUGAGUUGCUGCUGUCACCAAUAAUUCCUCAUCUGCUAAUUUGGUUUACUUUUUUAUUAUCAUUCUCAUCUGGUUGCAUGAUUAUUUUCUUCUAAAUUUGAAACUUUUAGAUUAGGGUUUAAGAAUGAAAAAAGAUAUGCCGUAUAAGGAAUUUAAAAAUCUUAAAUGAAAAUAUGUCGUAUAAAGAAUUUUUAAGGGAAAUAAAUUAUUUGAUUUUGAGUGGGGUUUAAUUAGAAAUUAUCUUAUUAUGUAAUUUUAAUAAAAGUUAAAAUUAUAAAAUAACUAAAGAGGUGUUAAGAGGUAUUUAGAAGGGUGCCAAUAGUCCCACUCUUUAUGUUUUAUAUAAUUGUACAUAUAUUUCUUUAU